AUGAAGGGGAUGAUAAAGAUGGAAAUUUUGAUGCAGCUGAUUUGCAGCUCUGCUGUAUUGCGAGUUUUUUUGUCGCCGAGGGCUCAGACCAGUUCCGCGGUGUUUCCGUUUUCGUUGCUGUUGUCUUUUGACAGGGUCGAUGUGGUAUUUUGCGGUUGCAGUCGCGUUUGUACCGAGCUAGCUAUCGGCAGAGUGGUGGCCGUGAUGUUCGUGCAAUUAAUAGAUCUGCUUCUCAGUUGCUUGGGGCUAAUGGUCGUGAUGAUGGCGCAAUUAUUCUGUAGAAAAUAA